rnacentral:rRNA from 1 species
AUUGAACGCUGGCGGCAGGCCUAACACAUGCAAGUCGAACGAGUGGCGGACGGGCGAGUUAUGUCUGGGCAACUGCCUGAUGGAGGGGGAUAACGACUGUAAACGUUAGCUAAUACCGCAUACCAUCAGAUGUGCCCAGAGGGGAUUAGCUAGUGGGUGGGGUAACGGCUCACCAAGGCGACGCUCCCUAGCUGGUCUGAGAGGAUGACCAGCCACACUGGAACUGAGACACGGUCCAGACUCCUACGGGAGGCAGCAGUGGGGAAUAUGGCACAAUGGGCGAAAGCCUGAUGCAGCCAUGCCGCGUGUAUGAAGAAGGCCUUCGGGUUGUAAAGUACUUUCAGCGGGGAGGCGUUACCCGCAGAAGAAGCACCGGCUAACUCCGUGCCAGCAGCCGCGGUAAUUC